rnacentral:lncRNA from 1 species
GCCAAAGGCACCCUUGGUGCAACACAGUAUCUACAUUAUUUAUGAGACAUAGCGGGGCCUCAAAACUACUAAGUACUUCUACAACAUAGCGGAACAUAGCGGCAACUCCAUACACAGGGACACUGCACUAGACACUUCCUAGUACGCAUCAUCAGGACCUCCGUCCUCGGCUUCUCCUGCAUCUGGCAUGAUACGCCAAGUGAGUACUUGGA